AUGAGUCAGAUACCUGGCUUUUAUUUCAGAUAUGCAUUACAUUCUAGAAUUAAAGGAGAUUUAAACGAGGGUGCCAACAUCCAAAUUCGCUUCUUUACUUCUUACCAGAGGGCUCUUUUGAAUCAUUUAGAGAACUGUACUCUGUUGGAGGUUUCACUGGGUACAUGCCGGCAGCAGGUUGUUCUGCAUGUGGAGGAGAAGGCUUAUGAACAACAAAUUAUCAUUGCAAAGCAGUUUAAAAACACAAAAGUGGCUAAAGAGUCUAGGUACCCAGCACCCGGCGUUCGCCCAGGAGGGGGGCGAGGCUGCCCGCGUCCCCAGAGCUCCCGAUUCUGGGGAGGCGGCCACGUCCCCCUGCGACAUGCCUGGGGGGCGGGAACACAGGACGGAGUUAUCUCUAGCUCCCGUACCACCACCACCACCAUCACAGCGCCUCCCUCCAGGGUCCUGCAGAAUGGGGGAGAUAAGUUGGAGACGAUGCCCCUCUACUUGGAAGAAGACAUUCGCCCUGGUAUAAAAGAUGAUAUAUAUGACCCCACCUAUAAUGAUAAGGAAGGCCCAAGCCCCAAGGUUAAUUAUGUCUGGAGAAACGUCAUCCUUAUGUCUCUGCUACACUUGGGUGCCCUGUUUGGGAUCACUUUGAUUCCUACCUGCAAGUUCUACUCCUGGCUUUGGGGGUUAUUCUACUAUUUUGUCAGGGCCCUGGACAUAACAGCAGGAGCUCAUCCUCUGUGGAGCCACCCCUCUUACAAAGCUCGGCUGCCCCUGCGGCUCUUUCUGAUCAUUGCCAACACAAUGGCAUUCCAGAAUGGUAUCUAUGAAUGGGCUCACGACCACCAUGCCCAUCACAAGUUUUCAGAAACACAUGCUGAUCCUCGUAAUUCCAGACAUGGCUUUGUCUUCUCUCACGUGGGUUGGCUGUGCAAACACUCAGCUGUCAAAGAGAAGGGUGGUACACUAGACUUGUCUGAUCUAGAAGCCGAGAAACUGGUGAUGUUCCAGAGGGGGUACUACAAACCCCGGUUUGCUGCUGAUAUGUGCUUCACCCUGCCCACGCUUGUGCCCUGGUGUUUCUGGGGUGAAACUUUUCAACACAGCUUGUUCAUUGCCACCUUCUUGCGGUAUGCUGUAGUGCUUCAUGCCACCUGGCUGGUGAACAGUGCUGCUCACCUCUUCGGAUAUCGUCCUUAUGACAAGAACAUUAGUCCCCGGGAGAAUGUCCUGGUUUCACCUGGAGCUGUUGGUGAGGGCUUCCACGAGUACCACCACUCCUUUCCCUAUGACUACUGUGCCAGUGAGUACUGCUGGCACAUCAGCUUCACCACAUUCUUCAUUGAUUGCAUGGCCUCCCUGGGUCUGGCCUAUGACCGGAAGAAAGUCUCCAAGGCCUCCACCUUGGCCAGCAUUAAAAGAAUCGGAGACUGAAGCUACAAGAGUGGCUGAGUUUGGGGUCCCUCAGGUUCCUUUUACAAAAGCCAGCCAGGCAGAGGUUUUAAUGUCUGUUUAUUAACUACUGAAUAAUGCUACCAGGAUGCUAAAGAUGACUAUGUCAACCCAUUCCAGUACAGUAUUCUUUUAAAAUACAAAAGUAUUGAAAGCCAACAACUCUGCCUUUAUGACGUUAAGCUGAUGUUAUUUCUUCUCUUAUCCUCUCUCUCUUCUAGGCCCAUUGUCCUCCUUUUCACUUUGUUGCUAUCGCCCUUCUUUCUCUUAUUGCCUCCCAGGCAAGCAGCUCGUCAGUCUUUGUUCAGUGUCCAGCUUCCAAAGCCUAGACAACCUUUCUGUAACCUUAAACGAAUGGUCUUUGCUCCAGAUAGCUGUCUUUCCUUGAGCUGUUGUGAGCUUUGAAGUAGGUGGCUUGAGCUAGAGAUAAAACAGAAUCUUCUGGGCAGUCCCCUGUUAAUUAUCUUCAGCCCAGGCUUUUGCCAGAUGGAAUGGAAAAGCAACUUCAUUUGACACAAAGCUUCUAAAGCAGGUAAACUGUCAGAGGAGAGAUUUAGCAUGUAUGAAUGUAAGGACGAGGGAA